rnacentral:lncRNA from 1 species
GCACACGAAACGAGGCAGAACAACUGGGCAAAAAAAAAUUAAUAUCGAGGAUUUGUUCAUUUUCCAUUUUUGACGAAUUGGAGCUCGGGAAGAGGCGAUUUUCGGGAGGUUUUUAAGAAAAACAUCGGGGUAAGUGUUCUUAACUAAAUAUUGAUCAAAUUACCCGAAUUCAUGGUUGUUUUUAACAUUUAAUUGGCGAAUUAAGUUGGAAAAUUUAGAAAACCCUCUUAGUUUAAUUUGAGGAUUUGAGAGUCGAGUUGAUGUCAGAAUUGGUAAAACUGGUAUGGUUGGACUCAUGGUUGAAUGGGCAUUCAUAUUUUGUAACUUUUGUCGGGUUUUGAGACGUGCGCCCCACGGGCGAUUUUUGAUUGUAAUUUCGGAUUUUUGGGAAAAUUAGUAUUUUGAUAUGGAAUUAGUUCCUAUAAUUUGUGUUGACUGAAUCGAAUUAAUUGUGACUAGAUUCGAGCCGUUCGGAAGUUGAUACACGCAUAAUGGAAUUUCUAGAGCGUUGUUUAGCUUGCUCGACAUUGGAUUCGACUUGUUCGAGGUAAGUAACAUCUCUAAUCUUGGAGUUGAGGGUAUGAACCCUGAUUAUACGUGUUAUGUGAAUUGUUUGGAAGUGACGCACAUACUAGGUGACGGGCAUGUGGGCGUGCACCAUAGAAAUUGAGACUCAGUUGAUUCCGUAGAUCUGUUUAGUCAAUUAAUUUGUAUUCUUCCAUAUAUUUUUAUGUGUUAGAGAAACUGAGUUGUGACUC